UGUGGGAGCGAGCUUGCUCGCGAUGGCGGUCUUUCAGUCACGUUGAUGUUGAACGUGCUGACGCUAUCGCGAGCAAGCUCGCUCCCACA
rnacentral:misc_RNA from 1 species